rnacentral:miRNA from 14 species
CCUGGGGGGAUGUGUGAGUGUGAGUGUGUGUGUGUGUGUGCGUGUGUGUAGAAGGAGGACCCCCCCCACACACACACACACACACUCUCCAGG